rnacentral:rRNA from 1 species
GACGAACGCUGGCGGCGUGCUUAACACAUGCAAGUCGAACGGAAAGGCCCUGCUUUUGUGGGGUGCUCGAGUGGCGAACGGGUGAGUAACACGUGAGUAACCUGCCCUUGACUUUGGGAUAACUUCAGGAAACUGGGGCUAAUACCGGAUAGGAGCUCCUGCUGCAUGGUGGGGGUUGGAAAGUUUCGGCGGUUGGGGAUGGACUCGCGGCUUAUCAGCUUGUUGGUGGGGUAGUGGCUUACCAAGGCUUUGACGGGUAGCCGGCCUGAGAGGGUGACCGGCCACAUUGGGACUGAGAUAGGGCCCAGACUGCUAAGGGAGGCAGCAGUGGGGAAUAUUGCACAAUGGGCGGAAGCCUGAUGCAGAAACGCAGCGUGCGGGAUGACGGCCUUCGGGUUGUAAACCGCUUUCGCAUGUGACGAAGCGUGAGUGACGGUAAUGGGUAAAGAAGCACCGGCUAACUACGUG